UACAGAGGUCUCAAGCGUUGCUCGGAUUCAUUGGGCGUAAAGGGUGCGUAGGCGGCGCGGUAAGUCGGGUGUGAAAGCCCCGAGCUUAACUUGGGAAUUGCGCUUGUGACUGGCGUGCUGGAGUGUGGCAGAGGGAGGUGGAAUUCCACGUGUAGCAGUGAAAUGCGUAGAGAUGUGGAGGAACACCGAUGGCGAAGGCAGCCUCCUGGGCCAGCACUGACGCUCAUGCACGAAAGCGUGGGGAGCAAACAGG
rnacentral:rRNA from 1 species